rnacentral:rRNA from 1 species
GGAAGUAAAAGUCGUAACAAGGUUGCCGUAGGUGAACCUGCGGAAGGAUCAUUACCUAGAGUUUGUGGGCUUUGCCCGCUACCUCUUACCCAUGUCUUUUGAGUACUUACGUUUCCUCGGCGGGUUCGCCCGCCGACUGGACAAAAUUAAACCCUUUGUAAUUGAAAUCAGCGUCUGAAAAACAUAAUAGUUACAACUUUCAACAACGGAUCUCUUGGUUCUGGCAUCGAUGAAGAACGCAGCGAAAUGCGAUAAGUAGUGUGAAUUGCAGAAUUCAGUGAAUCAUCGAAUCUUUGAACGCACAUUGCGCCCCUUGGUAUUCCAUGGGGCAUGCCUGUUCGAGCGUCAUUUGUACCUUCAAGCUAUGCUUGGUGUUGGGUGUUUGUCUCGCCUUUGCGUGUAGACUCGCCUCAAAACAAUUGGCAGCCGGCGUAUUGAUUUCGGAGCGCAGUACAUCUCGCGCUUUGCACUCAUAACGACGACGUCCAAAAGUACUUUUUACACUCUUGACCUCGGAUCAGGUAGGGAUACCCGCUGAACUUAAGCAUAUCAAUAAGCGGAGGA